rnacentral:rRNA from 1 species
AGUGAACGCUGGCGGUAGGCCUAACACAUGCAAGUCGAACGGCAGCACAGUAAGAGCUUGCUCUUACGGGUGGCGAGUGGCGGACGGGUGAGGAAUACAUCGGAAUCUACUUUUUCGUGGGGGAUAACGUAGGGAAACUUACGCUAAUACCGCAUACGACCUACGGGUGAAAUCAGGGGAUCUUCGCACCUUGCGCGAUUGAAUGAGCCGAUGUCGGAUUAGCUAGUUGGCGGGGUAAAGGCCCACCAAGGCGACGAUCCGUAGCUGGCCUGAGAGGAUGAUCAGCCACACUGGAACUGAGACACGGUCCAGACUCCUACGGGAGGCAGCAGUGGGGAAUCUUGGACAAUGGGCGAAAGCCUGAUCCAGCAAUACCGCGUGGGUGAAGAAGGCCUUCGGGUUGUAAAGCCCUUUUGUUGGGAAAGAAAAGCAGCAGGUUAAUACCCCGCUGUUCUGACGGUACCCAAAGAAUAAGCACCGGCUAACUUCGUG